rnacentral:rRNA from 1 species
GACGAACGCUGGCGGCGUGCCUAACACAUGCAAGUCGAACGGAAAGGCCCUGCUUUCGUGGGGUGCCCGAGUGGCGAACGGGUGAGUAACACGUGAGUAACCUGCUCUUGACUUUGGGAUAGCUUCAGGAAACUGGGGUUACUACCGUAUAGGAGCUCCUGCUGCAUGGUGGGGGUUGGAAAGUUUCGGCGGUUGGGGAUGGACGCGCGGCUUAUCAGCUUGUUGGUUGGGUAGUGGCUUACCAAGGCUUUGACGGGUAGCCGGCCUGAGAGGGUGAACGGCCACAAUAGGACUGAGGGACGGACCAGACUCCUACGGGGGGCAGCAGUGGGAAGUAUUGCCCAAUGGGCGGGAGCCUGAUGCAGCAACGCUGCGUGCGGGAUGACGGCCUUCGGGUUGUGAACCGCUUUAGGCUGUGACGAAGCGGGAGUGACGGUAAUGGGUAAAGAAGCACCGGCUAACUACGUG